rnacentral:rRNA from 1 species
GAUGAACGCUGGCGGUAUGCUUAACACAUGCAAGUCGAACGGACUCUUCGGAGUUAGUGGCGGACGGGUGAGUAACGCGUGAGAAUCUGGCUUUGGGUUCGGGACAACCACUGGAAACGGUGGCUAAUACCGGAUGUGCCGAGAGGUAAAAGAGAAAUUGCCUGAAGAUGAGCUCGCGUCUGAUUAGCUAGUUGGUGAGGUAAAGGCUCACCAAGGCAGCGAUCAGUAGCUGGUCUGAGAGGAUGACCAGCCACACUGGGACUGAGACACGGCCCAGACUCCUACGGGAGGCAGCAGUGGGGAAUUUUCCGCAAUGGGCGAAAGCCUGACGGAGCAGUACCGCGUGAGGGAAGAAGGCUCUUGGGUUGUAAACCUCUUUUCUUAGGGAAGAACAAAAUGACGGUACCUAAGGAAUCAGCAUCGGCUAACUCCG